GGCAGUAACAGUAGUCAUCUCAGAGGCACCUCCCACGGCACAGGACAGGGCCUGGCACAGGACAAAUCUCCGGUGCAUUUAAGUCAGUUGCUCGCCAUCGUCAUUCCCCUCACGUGUGAGCACAGCUUUGCAGACCACGAGCCCCGCGGUAGACGGUCUUUAUCACAUCGUGGCCCCAGGCUUCUGCGUUCCAGCACCUGUGUGACUCUGCCCAGUCUGCAUCGCCACAGGGAUCGAUAUAUGAAGAAAUAGUUAACACGGUAACUGUCUGAUCCUUGUUAUGGAUUUUUUAGCCAUUUGAGGCUCUGGGGGCUUCCUCGCUUUGAGUCAGUACUUACUAAAUUUAGCUUUUCUAGUUUUGGGUAUUAUGCUUAUAAAGAAUUGAGGUGGGUGUUAAAAUUAUCAUUUGGGAAAAUUCUCCUAUUGCCUGUUUUUCUAGUUCAGAUUGCAGUCCUGUCCUGUGGUCCUGACAGCUCUUGAACAUGCACACAUGUGUGUUUGCUGCAUUAAAGUCACACAAAAUUCUUUCACUGAUGACAAUGGACAGCCUUAUUUUAUAGGUUGCUUGUACUUGAAAAGCCCACCCCUCCCCAUAUUUAUAAUUUAUUACUUUGAAUGAAAUGGGUUCAUCAUUGUGCUUUUUUGCCUGAAUCACAUCCCAACUGGACUACAUAGACCAUCAUGUGAAGAAGUAGAAAAUAACUUGUUUACACUAAAAACAAACCUGCCAAUAUAUUUUAGCUGAACAGUGUACUAUAAAUAGUAAGCUAUUUGCUAACAGUUUCCAUUUUAAACUUAGAAUUGCUGCUGAUGGAUACUAACUUGGCACUAUUCCUGGGAGCUUUGCUUCAGCCAUUUAGUUGUUAGAUAGCAGUUAAAAUAUAUAGGACCUUCACAUUCGGAGAAACUACUGUCGAUGGGGCAAAGGAUAAACUUGUCUGCAAUAUGAAUCCACAAGUAUUUUUAAAAUGAAUGAAAAUUUGCAUUGAUUCUUUGCCAUUAAUCAAGGUAAGAGAGUCUCUUUCAACAUUUCUGUGUUACUUACAAAUCAAAGAUAAACUUACAGAAAAGUAAUACACUAAUGCUUUUGGACGAUCAUGAUUUCUUUCUUUAUACUUUUCUUGUCUGGUGCGUCAUCAGAUUACAGAUGUGGAUAUAUUCUCUGGUUCUUCCUCUCGUUUCAAUCAGAAUUUAGCCAGGGUUCCUCGCUGAAGAUCAUGUUCACAGGAAUUUCUGUUUCUUUUUCCUCAGCACUGGGGGUUAAACCCAAGGGUGCCUACCACUGAGCUACAUCCCUCGCCCUUUUUAAAAGCCUUAUUGAGACAGGGUCUCACUGUGUUCUCGGGCUGGCCUUGAACUUUCGAUCUUCCUGCUGAGCUCAGACUUCCAUGUCACCAGGAUCACAGGUGUGUACUGUAAUGCCCAGAGAAAUCUCCCAGUUUUUAAAACCACAGACUAAUAGGUGAAAGGGCUCAGUUAUUUUUUCAUUACAGCAGCUUUUCUGGUGUUGAUGGUAGGUAAAAAUAAUAAGAUUUUUGUUUGUUUGUUUGUUUUGGUACCGGGGAAUCAGCUCGGGUCCUUGUGCUUGUGCAGCAGGUGACGAAUCCACUGAGCUAAAUCCCUGGCCAAUAAAUAAGACUUUUUAAAACUUCAUUUGGCAAAGUCUGCUGAGAACUAGAAAGAUGGUUUGUUUUUUAAAUAAAUGUUUUGACAUAGAUGUAGUUGAAAGGGAAUGGAAAAUCAUUUCACAGUUGAUAGAUAUCAGAACAAACUUUCAGCUCAUGACUGGAGUUGAAGUAUGUCAUCUAUACACUAGUUUUAUGUUGCAUACUAUAAAUAUGCAAUGAAAUACAGGACAGCUUUGUUCACAUUUGAAUCAUUAGAGAAGCUUUGGACAAAACCCCGGGCCUCUUGACGACGUAAUCUGUGGGACUGAAACUUAGGCAGGCAUCUGUGUUCGGGAGCCCUAAGGUGAUUCUAAUGCUCGCCUCGGCUGCAGAGUUCCCAGUAAAUGCUUUGGCAGUUGACACACGGGAACGUGCACAGUAUCACACACAUGUGCAGAUAUGCAGGUGCACAAAGUUACAGACACAGAGAGCAAACUGCCAUUCUUUAUGUUGCAUUGUGAAUUUUACUCUAAUAGUGACAUUUAUUAUCAGAAGGGUAACAUUCAAUGAGCUGAGGACCCGAGUUCUCAGGGCCCUUACGGAGCGAUCCCCUGACUUCCCCCAAUACUCACACGGGUGUGUUUUCUCCAUUUUAACGGUCAGCAGCCGAGGCACAGUGAUGCCAAGUCCCUUCUCCAGAGCCACAGCACUGGUAAGUUAUGGAGCCAGACUUUGAAAAUGAGCCCUGGAUUUCAGGUUCUCAGCUGCUUGUCGUUUGCUGCACUGCCUUUAGUAGCUCUUCCUGGGUACUCUGUGGUUUUAAGGGGGAAAAAAAUGCAUGCUGCUUAGCACUGCUUUGGAAAUAAAGAUAAGGUCAUCAGAAAUUUCUGUCACUGUUUCAGUCUGACUUGGUACAAGAAAUCUAAUUUGCUAAAAUCGUUCUAUGUUUUAAUAGUUUUUAAAAUUAAAUGCAUCCUGGGUUAAAAGAGAAAGUUCGACUAAUGUGCAGAAAUCUCAGCGAUUACCUGGAAGUUUCUAAGCAGUAAGGAGCCUACCUCCUCCGCCUCCCCCCCCCUUUUUUUUUAAAGUAAUGUAGGCUAAAGAUCAAAUCUUUUUGCCCUGGGGGCUCUUGGUUCUCUGAUUUCAGCACCACGCUUGGCCGAGGACCAAGCUGGGCGGCCGGCAGAGGGCAGCCGCGUCCCGCGACUGGGCUCCUCUCCCGGGGCGCUGUGUGAACCGGGGUCUUUCUCCUGGUGUCCCUUACUGGUCCUGAAAGGCCAUCGGUGCCUUUAUCUGAAUGAGGACUGGAUCGAUCUCGUCGGGGAACCCGAGCCCGGGCCGGGGGCUCUGUUGCAUAGGCGCCGGGCCUGCGCGGGCCUGCAGGGCUUGUGCGGACUCCGGAGGCGACGACCCAGGACUUUCUGCAACACUUCCUGUAGAUCUGCUUCACAGACCGCCACCAGCGAAGGCCGGCUGGGCCUGGCGCUCUCCGCCUAAUACACCAUGUAAUGCGGCGCAGAUGGAGAGUUGUCUUUCGCCAAAUCAUUCCCCCGAGAGGCUGGUGGGCCCCCGGCUGUCUGCUGCACGGAGCGAGGCCCGGGUCCGGGUGCCCUGCUUCGCAAGGCCUCGUGAGCCAUAGUUAGCAGAGAAAACAGUGGUGCUGCCCCUUCCCUCCACACCCAUUUGAGCAUCCUGGCUGCUCUUUGCCUUACGUGGAAUUACACGGAACUAUUCAGACGGCUGUAAUCCAGACAGCUGCCUAGAUGAACAUGCGUUUUUGGAUUGAGGUUUCCAGUCAGAAGUUCUAGCAGAGCCAGAGCCCUGUGUCUGCAGGCCCCAGACCCUGGGGAUGUUCCCGGCGCUGUCUGAGCUGAAAGACACGGAGAAAUGCUCUGUGACGCUGACGCUCUCAGGUCUCUGUGAGUGCUACUCGGAUAACCUGGGGCACAACUGCUCUACACGCUCUUUGCUGAGGUGGUUUUUUUUUUAAUCAUUGGGCCAGAAUCCGAGGAAAUACGUUUUCGGAAACAGGACACCUUGUUCAGAAGUUGACAGGUGCAAGCACAUAUUUGUGUUCCUGAGAGCAAGUGAGGAGGGAGAUGGGCUGGAAGCUCGCAUUUGUGGAAGCUCCUUUCCUCUCUAGCUGGUCUCGGGGGGGGAAGGUGAUGAAGGCCGACCCGGCGUUAGCUGUGAUUGUCCUGGGUGAAGCAGUGUGAAGCAAGGAGGCAUCGUGGGCACCGUGGGUGCCUUCACACUGGCCAAGCAAGGGCAGGAGAGCUGCUUGCUGUUGAUUCGUGGGGGUUUCUUUAUACUCCAUCACCAGGAAAUCAGUGACACUUAUCCAAGGCCUUCUAGUAAGGUAGUUCAUGGAAUAAGUCUGUUUUAUGGACAAGCUGCCAUCCAAUCACUAUUUGACAGUUUAAAACAAAGGAGACUAUCAAGAUAGUCAGUUUUGUUCAGUGAAUAAAAGAAAGUUGUCCUCACGCUAUUUCUACAGAGUCCAGGCAGCUCUGGAGCUGAGGUAGUAUCAGCGGUCCACAGGAAGUUGGAUUUAGUGCUAAGAAUCAAACUUCUGUAGGCUACUUUUUAGAUCCACAAGAUAUCAUUCCCAAUUUUAAUUAAAUAUCAGAAACUUAAAAUCUAUUAACUAAUUCUUUAAUUCAAGAAAUAUUCCAGUGCUUACUUUAUGUAGGUGAUGUACCAAUGAACAAGGAAGAUGUGGCCUCAUGCCCAAGGAUUCAGAUUUUUCCAGGGGUCAGAAAGCUUAAACAACUAACUACACUGUCAUUAAAAGUUAUAAACAAGUAAGUACAAAAUGGUUUUUAAAGUAUACCAUGCUAUUUGUGCUAAAGAAGUAUAAAAGUCAUGACGAUAUUCAGAGUCUCACACAAUCUGGGAUUUCAAAGAAGAGCUCUUUAAAGUUAAUUUAAAUUUCUUUAUCUAAAAUAAGAUUUUGACAUACACAUUAUCUAUUUACACUGAUGGAUGUGGGCUUUUUAUUUAGACAGAAUGUCUAUAGAAUAACUGAAGGAGAAAAAUAUGCAAGAACUAAGAAAAAAAUUGGUAACUUCUGCUUUGAACAAAUAUAGAUAGAUCAGAUCAGUGCUAUAACCUCUCCCCAAAUCUCUUACAUGUGAGAAGUCAUAUAUCCAUUUAGAUGGGAGAAAUUAUAUUUGUCUUUUAGAAAUGUAUUUAACUAUCAUUUAAAUAAACUAAAAUUGGUUUUUAUGUUACUUUGGAAGAUGAUCCACAACAGAACCAUACAAGUUGAGUAAGUUUUCCUGGAAAUGAACAGGCUAAAAGUUGGGAUGAUUUCCUAAGGAAAAACAUGUUGGGUAUGGAGGAACAAAAAUCUACAGAAAAAACAUUAUAGAAAAACAAGUCAGAAAGAUAUGUGAUGCUCUAUGUAUUGCUUUGUCUGUUCUUGUGAAAGGUAAAUGAGACCUUUACAACAUAAACACUAGCUCAGAGUUUGAGGGAGACAAAAAGCCAUUCAUACUUUUUUGAUUACAUUCUUAUACCUUUCCAAAUAUAAAGGAUUAGUGAAUGAGGAUAGAAUUUGAUUUUAAUAAUGGAAGUUUUUAAAGACUUUCUGGAAAUGUCUGAGAACUGGAGAAAGAGAGAGAGAGAGAGAGAGAGAGAGAGAGAGAGAGAGAGAGAGAGAAUGAGAGCUUGUUCUUAAUUUUAUUUUGUGUUUAGUUCCAAGAAAUCACUUCAAAGAAAUCUUCUAAGAAAUCGUUUGCAAUCUCCCUGAUGUAUAGUAUAUAAAGAUGUUUGGAGCAAAUAGUUAAAUUCGAGAAUGUUUUACGCUCCUUAAUAGUGAUGGAUGUUUUCCUUGAUACUUCACCCUUGGCUGCUCUUCAAACAUAGUGCUACUGAUGAUGUUUAAUGAACUAGCUUUAUUUGUUGUGGUGAAAUAAGAAAAGAUUUGCUAAAUCUUUGAACUCAUAAAACAUUAUUAAUAUUAUGAAAAGGACAGUGACCACCUGCCCUCUGUCUCCGUUGAAGCAGAACAUGAGGAAAUACACUGCAGUAUGAGGCAGUUAUGUUAGAAUAACUGAGAAAUUUCCUGGCAGGGGCGUUAAGCAUUGCAAUGAAUCAGGAAGAAGGUUGUGAACUCUUCUUAGAGUCUGAUUCCCUUAUUAAAUAGCAUGAUCUAUCUUCGGUGUUGCUAGUCUCACCUGUAAGCUGGUAAACCUCUCAAGCUUUAGCUGUCUCCAGUAUUUCAUGAAGAUGUUCGUGUCAGAGGGAGGACCAGGAAAAGCUAACAAAAUCAAACAAUAGCCGAGAUUCGGUGAGUGUUUGUUCUGUGCUAGGCUCUGUAUGAAGAACUUUAUAAGCACUCUCCCAUUUGAACAUGGCAAUGGCCCAGGUAUUUCAGCCCCUAUGGGUUCUGUGAACAGACGCUGACUGCUACACACCAGCAGAUUUGUUUCUUAAAAUUACCAUCAACUCAAAAAUGUAUGAUGAAGGUUUAUAGACAAAUCAUCAUUGGUGAUGCUAUCCUCAUUUUGAGAAGGAGUUCUCUAGCCUGGAAAGGACUGGGUCAGGUCUCUUUGGAGGUACAAAGGUAACAGAGCACCUGGCUCUUGAGAUACUCAUGUGUCAGAGGCUUCGUGUUGUUUUUGAUGAUGUCACUAUGGGUGCUCCAAAGUUCAGAUUUCAACUUGAAAAAUUCAGUGAGCUGAAGAUCACAUUUCCCCUCCCAGAGGCAGAACACACUUCUGCAAAAGAAUAACUUAUGUUCUUGAUAGCACUUGACCUUGAAAGCUCAAAUACCUAUGUCCUUCCCACUGUUCUUUCUUCUUCUGAAACAAACCUUCACCCCAGGUUUUCGUAGUGGCUAAGUCUGAGGUCUGGCCUGACUUUGCCAGAUUUUUGUGAUGAGUCUUACUUUUGCACUUACUCCUUGUGCUUUUUACAUUGUAAUCUUAGCAACAGGGACAGGCCUUGAUUUAACAGCCUCAUGGUAAGUCUGCCCAGAGGUUUUGCCAAUGGAAAUGUAGAAAGUCCAGUGGCAAGAAAUAGUUAUGAAAACAUGCACAGUGGCGAAUACUUCGCUAGAACCCCCUGAGUUCAGGAAACUAAACAUUUUCCUCUGUUGAUAGAGCUUCCCGACUGCAUUCCUUUCCUCUAGCUCUGUCUGCCGUUUCCAGGAGGUCUAAUCUAAAUUACGUGAAUAUCAGAUGCCCCCAAGGGCCGAGUACAGAACAAGAGCUGCAGGAGUCACAGCUCUAAUGGGGGCCAUCGAGUCACCACCAUGCAACCCACACAGACUUCAAGACUGAAACAGUUUUCUUGAUGACUUUAAAGUUGUUUCAAAUAAGUUUUUCCCACUUUCUUUCUCUUUCUCCCUUUCCCUUUCUCUUUCUUUCUUUCUCCUCCCCCCUUCCCUCCUCUUUCUUUCCCUUCCCUUCUCUUCAUUUUUUCCCCUCCUCCUUCUUCUUUCCCUCUCCUCUCCCUCCUCCAUUUUAAAGAAAAGCCUCAAUAAAAAAAACAACACAGCAGUAUCUAUAAGGUCAGAUAUUUUCAUGGCUUGGGUAGCUCUCAGAAUAUAAAUUAUGCACCUUGAAAACAAGGAGUAAAUAACUUACUAAUUUUAUCAUUGCCUUCUAGGCUUUGUUUACAUUUAUUUACAUAUUUAUUUAUUUUUAGAAUUUUGCCAUUUCGUCCACGUAGGCCAGUGGCCUUUAAUCUCUUCGGCGCACAGGUGAGCAGGGUAACACGGUGGACACCUGUUUGCUCUCUAAAGUUAGGUAGUCCUGACUGUUAACAGUGCGAAUAGAUUUUCUUAAUAGUUGAGGGGUGCAGCAGAUUACAAAAUGCUUCCUUCAGAACAGCAGGAUGUGAUGCAGAGUAUUCACGUGGUGAAUUAUGAAUGUUCCUAUAAGUUUGAUCAAGUGAUGGGAUCUCCAGCGAUCAAGAGAGGAAUCACUUCCAUCACAGAAAAGACUUUGGAGUCAUUCAACUCUUUACUGAUGAGUGAAACCCUCACAGGCUGUUUUCCCAAAGCAGCAGAAACAUCGAGGAGCAAACACAGAUCCUCUGUAAAAGAAGCGGCAAUCAAUCUAUUGAUUCAUAAUGGAGAUUGAAUGGUGAAGAAUUUUAUACUUUACAUAUUUAAAACAUUUUAACGUUUUUACAAAAAAGACAAAAUGAAGCAAAUUAGCUACAAAUUAUUUUGUUUAUUUAUCUAUAAUUAUGUUUUUUGGUUUAUUUUACUUUUGAAAUUAAUUUUUUGCCAAACUUUUUACUUUGAAAUAACUUUAUAGAAAAUUUGCAAAGAUAGCGCAGAAGGUCCUCAUAUAUUUAUUGUCCAGUUCCACUGUUUUUACUAUUGUGUUUAUCAUGUACAUUUUUCAUAACUAAGAAAUCAACGUUGGUGUGUUACCAAACUCUACUAACCAAACUCCAUAUUUCUUUCAAAUUUAACUAGUUUUCCUAUGAAUCCCUUUUUUCUACUCUAGAAUUCAGAGUUGAAGUAGAAAGUGCACUUUGUUAUGUCUCUUUGGUGUUCCGUGGUCUGUGGCAUCUUUUUCAUGACUUUCAUAGUUUCAGGUACUGGUCAGGGAUUUUUGUACAACAUUCCUCAUUCUGGCUCUGUCUGUUAUUUUCUCACGAGUAGACUAGAGUUAGGGCUGUUGGGUAAGAAGACCACAGAGGCAAAGUGCUCUUAUAUCACAUCAUAUCAGGGGUACAUGCUGUAAACAGGACUUACCACUAUUGUUGAAGAACAAAAUGUCAAUAAUUAUGUCAAUACCUUCAAAGAUCGAAUUGGCUUUUAUUACUGAUUCUUGUGCUGAGAAAUAUCCAGUCUCCAAACAACCUCCAAUGAGCCAGAGAGAGUGGACAAGUUGUAGAGGCAGCAAAAAGCAGAGGAAAUCAAAAACACUGAUCAGGUAGUGAAUCGGUUCUUUCACCAUUAUUGUCCCUGAAGGAGUGCAAAUGAAGUCUUGUUGGCCACCAUCUGUCAUCUGAUUUUCAUAAAGUCAAAUCUCUUCUACUCUUGGAGGUCAUAUCUUUUUUGUAUUCAAUUCCUGCUAAGUUUAUUGUUUUUCUCUCAGUUUUUAUUUUUAAUUAGUACAUGUUUCCAAUACACAGUGAUCAUAUUCCUUACAGGAAGUUGGCACAUGCACAUGACACAUCUCAAUCCAUUUUCAACCCCUUCCCAUUCUCUUUUCUCCUUCCUUCCAUCUCUCAAUCCUCUUCCCUUAUAAGAAAGAUCUAUUUCCAUAGUUCUCAUUAUCUAUCCUUUAUUUGCUCUUCAUUUAAAUUUUGGCUUUCUUAUAAGAGAAACCAUGUGAUAUUUAAGCUUGUGUGUCUGAUUCAUUUCACUUAACAUUAUGGUCUCAAGGUGCAUCCACUUUCCUACAAAUGGCUCAAGUUUAUUCUUUAUGGAAGGUCAGAUCUUGCAAGCAAACAACCUAAGUUUCAUGGUGAUGUGGAAUCUUAGCAUGAGUUACAGUAUUUUGGCCUGCUGCUUUUUCUUUAAACAUUUGUCACUGUUUAAAAUUAUCAGCAUUUCAAAGGUACUCUCUCUCCCCUUUAAUAUUCUAUGGAAGCAAGUCCAGCCCAGCUUUAAGAUUUAAUACUGUCUCACAAUUAUUCAUUCAGAUGACCAGUAGAACUGAAGACAUAAGACACAGUGCUUUGAGUUUCUUAGAGAAAAGGUAUAAAUAAAUGUAAAUGGAACCAUGGAUCUCCUGAUCUUCACUGAGUCGCUUUCUCAUGUUGGAAUAUGACAUUCAGAGCAGGCAAAAGUAAUCAGUAUUUUCUGUCUAUCACUUAGGAUGAAAGAAAGCUGAAGAGAUGUAGGCCAAUUAUACGCUGUCAUGACAAUGGGCCUUCAUCCAAAUCCCCAGGAAGGCAUCACAGGAGAUCUUCAGAUGGCAACACAAUGCACUCCACCAUCACACUCCCAUGCCCAGAUCUUAGCACCAUUUUACAAUCUAUUUACUGUGAUCUUUGAAGAGAUAAAAUCCACUUGCCCAAUCAACAUGAUCUUUGACCUGAACCCAACAACUAUAUUUUUUUAUCCACUAUUAUUUAUGGAAUACCUAUUAUGUGCCAGAACUUUUCAUAUUUUUCUACUUUAUCUUUCAGACAUGAUUUCAUAAAAUACUUUCAUUUUUAUAAGGAAAUUGAAAGAGGUCAAGUAGUUUGGCCAUACCAGCAGAAGUUGCAUUUGGGAUUUAAAAUAAAUUUAUUCUAUUCCAAAGUGCAUAUAUGUGAAAUAAAUAAUUUUUCAAAAAUUUGUCAUAUGAGGAAAAAUCUAAUAUUGUGGAUUCUUGCUAGGUUAACAACAUCAUUAAGAUUUUUCUGUAGUAAGUAAGACUAAUAGCUCUUUUAUUUUUAGACAGUAAUUUUGCAGUCAUGGUAUCCCCAUAAUUUCUAAUAUUAUUUCUCCUGAAUUCACUAGGUAGAUAGAAAUUCAUUACAGUAAAAAGCAUUUAGCUGCAGGUGUACUGGAAGCAAUCAUUCCAUUUUCCUCACACUGCACACGUGCUGCUAAUUUUGUUUUUGUAUUGACAGUCAACAUGAAAAAUGUUUAAUAGUCAAGGUAACAGGGAAAAUCAAAUCAAAGUUCCUCUUGAAUAUUACUUGAGAGAAGUUAAUAUUUUCAGGAUCCAGUUCUUAAUGCUUAAAGACACUAAAAAUAUUAAAAGUCAUGGAGUAUGGAAAAAUCCAUAAAUUCUUGUGAAGCCUCGUAAAAUUAUUUUCCUGGUAGGUGAACAAAGGGCUGAACGAUGCCCAGAUAUACAGGUGAGAAGUCCAUCCCAUUUGUUCAUCUGGAGAACCCUUCCUAGUUGAAUAUGCACGGUAAUAAUUGGUCACUUCUCCAUCACUGUGCUUCUUCCAGAAGCUAUGAGGUGGGUUUUUUGGUUUUGUUUUGGUUUUUGGGUGUGUAGCUACGGGAAAUGGUUACACGGAGCUACACAUUAUUCAGGUUAAUCAUGAGAGCACAGAACAAUUUGCCAUUCCAGUCUCUUGAUGGCCCAGAUUUGAAGUGUCUGCAACUCUGUCCUAACAGCCGCUGGCAUUGUGUAUAAGAGGCCAUCUGGCAAAACUUAAAGUAGGUGACAGUUUUUCCUCCCAUUCUUUUCUCUACCACGUGUGUUACAGUUUCUUUCUUCACUCAGAGCACUUUCUAUUAAUAUGCAGGCCCUCUUGUCAAAGGGAGAAAAUCUGGUCUUUAAAACCUUGCUGUAAGUUAGUUACUCAUCUACCUUUCCCUGAGGUCUGCAUUUUAAGAUAGAAACCCGUAAUGGAACCUGAAUUAACAGCCUUCUGUGGCCGGGACCCGGAGGAUCCAGUCGAAGGCAGAAGACCUGGAGCUCCCUGCAGGGUCCAGUGUGAGUCUAUGUCGGGAAGCAAAGAGUCUGCCCUGGGAGAUGGAAGGAACCGGAGAUGAAUGUCCACAGGCAGGGACAAAGCCCGCAGCUUCUUUGGAGAAGAAAAGAGCAGACUCCCUUCUUUUCCUUUUUAUUCUGUCCAGGCUACAAGUCUAUUGGUUGGUGCCACCCACAUCCGGGGCGGGUCUUCCCUCCUCAGUUUGUGGCCUACCUGUCAAUCAUCCAGAGACACGCGCAGGGCUUUACUGAUUUGCUAGGUGGCUCUUACUCAAGUGAAAGUGCCAUAUCCCAAUUAACGAUUACAUCUAAUAAUGUUCAGAUAAAACGUAUUUUGUGCAAUUGGACUGAUAAAACAUGCAAAAUAUAGCUAUGAGGUCUGCUUGAGAUUCAUAUUUAGUCACAAGAAGCAAGAAUAAUUUCUUCAUUCAAUAAUACUUAGAGAACACUGACUAUGAUGCAAGAAUUUCAGGCACUAGGAGUAUCAUAGUGAUCAAAAUCAAAGGUCUCUGCUGUCCUGGAGCACAUGCUCUACAGGGAAAAUGAACAGUGAGGAUGCACAAGGCUAGAAGAACAAGCUAAAUGGCACCUGCCCAGACAAGGCCUUCAGAGGGACUUUCCAUGGGUUCGCAGCAGUUAAAUGCAGAAGUACAAACUGGGGGGCUGAAUCCACUCUGGGUUAAAAGAGCCUUACCACCAAAUAUGGAUUUUAUAGCAGGAAAAUGUAAUGCAUAGGUCUGGUCUGAAUUCUGAUUCAAAAAAUAUGCAUUCAAGAGACAAUAUCAGGGGAUCGUUGACAUCUGUUCUGUAGUAAUUGUAGUGUGAUUAGGGACAAAAAAACCCCUUAUAUACUGCUUAGAGCUGAACUCUGAAUUAUGUAAGAUAGACAUUAUAUACUGUCUGGAAAGAAAAAGAAAAAAUGUAAAAUUCUUGUGGAAAAAUCUGAUAAUUAUUUAAUUUGGUUGAUGAGUAUAUAGGUGUUCAUUGAACUAUUGUCUUUUCUUUGCAAACUAAUAUUUUAUAAUACAAAUUAAAAAUCAAAAUGACAAUGAAAAUGUGUUAUUGUGCAUAUUUAUCAUGUGCACAAUGUGCAGAGCAAAAGAAGGAAUGGAGACAAUGGGUUUGUUUUCUAAGCUCCCAAUUUAUCAACCUCACUUUGAUAUUCUUUCUGGUAUCUUUAAACUGAGCCGGUGGCUAUUUUAUCAAGCUGAAUCUCUAAGGAAUAUGCUAUUCACAGAUCACCUUUGGAAGAUUUUACGUUUGAAUAUAUUCUUUGUUAGAUUAACAAAUAGUUUCUGGAAGGACUCAGUGAAGAUAAUGAAAAAAUCUAUAGAAGAAAGAUGAUAUGACAGAAAAACCCAAGUGGAGGAAAAUCUCAGGGAAUGAGAUGCAUUUUACCUCAUCCUGGGUGAAACGGGAGGCCGAGAUAAUGCCCUCGUGGAGAGCAGACACAAUGAAGUUGUCGUUGUUGAUUUAAAUUCCCUUGCACGGUGAAAAGUGUGUGGAAUUGGAAGAGAGGCGACCAGUCAUGAAGACACUGCUGACGAGAGGGCCGUCAGCUCGCACGGGGAUGGUGGCAGUGGCGAUGGAGAGACGCGGGUGGAUCAGGAGCAUGGACAGGAGUUGCGAGGUCCAGCGAUCGCCUAGGGCCUAUUCCCUCAGAACCUCCCCCGUUGGCCAUGCCCUGCGGAAGAGCUCAAGAAUCACACUCCUUCCUGGGCCUCAGAGAAGGAAGAUGGCUUUUAGGGAACAGGUGUCUGCCCACCCUAGGGCAGCAGGCAAAUCAUUCAACAGCUUUUGCUCCCAGCCCUGGGCGUCCUUAAGGUGGCUCCAAAUGGGUCCCAACCACCUUUUAGGCAUCAUCGAAUCAACGCCGGAGAAACAUUUUGACGAUUUUGUUGCUUGAUGUCCGUCUAAAUGGCGCACGUGCUCCUGACUCUGCAGAGGAGAUGCUGGACCCUGGGCCCGCCUGAUCCCAUGGGAACUGAGUGAGCCACAGGCCAGGUAAGAGUCCCAAGCCCAGUGAGAAUGUGCAAAGACAGUUCUUCACUGAGAGGUGGUCAAAGAUAUGAUUUAGAGAAGCACCAGACUGUAGAGAAGAACUGGAAGAGUUUCCCCGUGAGAGCACUGAUUUUGUUGUGAUACAUAAAACUAGGCCUCAGGAACUAUUUCAGCAUCUUUGGCUGGAAGCCCUGUUGUGAAUGGAAACUGUUCACUGAAGGGUUUGGGUGAUUUCCCUUCAUGGUGGGGCCGUGCCUGGCUCUGCAGGAGUGGCUUGCACAGAAGUAGACACGGACGGUAGCAUUCUCAUGAAAAUAAGCUCUCACAAAACGGGUGGAAAUACGCGUCUCAUUAAAAACCCAGUGGAAAUCAGGCUGUAGGCCAAACACGACUGAGGCAUUAUUGCUAAAAUAAAUUGAAUAACCUUUACUUUUCUUCUGUUUGCCUCAGGAAUCUGUGUUCCUGUAGCUACAAGGUAGAUUCUCUUGGCUUGGUAAUUUGGAAAGUCCUGACAGAAGCAGAGAGUUUGCCUCCCAGGGCUCAAAGUGUUUCUGAGGUAUAAGGACACGACACUAAAAGUAUUACGGCCAGAAUAAAAAUUUUGCAAAGCAGGUGAAAUCUACAAAAUGAUUUAAAUUAUUAUUGUACAGAAUAAAUUUGGGAUUUUCUGACCAUUAAUUCCAAAUUGUUAAUCAUGUAAACUUGUUUUUCAUUUAACCUGCUUACUUUCUUACAAAGUCAAGGAGGUUUAUUUUGGCUCAUGGCUUCCCAAGGUUCCAUCCAUGGUCAGCGGGCUCCAUUGCUGUGGCCUGAAGUGAGGUGAAGCAUCACAGAGGAGAUGUGGGGGCCAGAGCUGCUCACCUCUUGGCACCUGGAAAGCUGAGAUAGGGAAGAGCCUGGGAGGGAGGAACUGGGGGCCAGACAGAGUCCCCAAGGCUGCAGCUAUAUGAUCACUUCCUUCAUUGAGGACCGAGCUCCUGUCUCCAUCCCUUCUAACAGUGCCAUUGACUCAUGAUCUCGUUAGCCGAUUAACCCAGGGGUGAAGUUAGAGGCUUCCCAAAGCCAAACACUUCCCAAAGCCCAUUAGCAUCCAAGCCUUGAAUACAUAGGUUCUGAGGCCUCUUCAAACCCAAACUAUAACAGUCAGCUAAUGUGUAAAUCAUGGUCUGUCUUCUGCAGGUGUGUGGUGUAAUGAUGGGAGUACACAGCUGAGCUCUGUGAUUAGGCCAGUGCAAGGCUAUGGCUCUAGUUUGUAUGACUGAGGGACGACACUGAAGGGAUUUUGUCCCUAUACCCUACUGCAGCAAUGCCUAUGCGUUACCCGAUGAUGGAUGGACGAACAUACCUACCCAGGAAGUAGCUUUAGCAGGUGCCAGAACACAGCCCAUUAGACAUACUGCCCUCCUGCUGACUCUUACUGCAUCCACCUCAAUAGACAUACAUUUAGUUUAUUGUAUUUUUAUGUCUGUAAUCACCUUAUGAUUAAUGUUAUUUAUUUAAAAUGGCUAAAGCACUUUCUUUGAGAAGAUGUACAUUAAGUAGCAAUCCAUUAGCUAUGGUUAAUUUAUCUGAUUAUGUAUUAUCACCUGUGGUUCCAAAUCUCAGGUAGGGUCAGGAUGGGAAAAUGUCAACUUUGGCUUGGCAGAUAAGAAUAGGAAUGUUUGAAAUGUCAGAAGCCACGGUCUCCUAAGCAGGAUGUUGAUGUAGGCAGGGAGAGAACAGAAUGGCAGCACUUUUAAGGUGACAUUCUAAGAAAAUAUGGCUUGGUCAAAAAUAAUGAAAUAAGGCAGCAGCCUUCUAGUUUGGAGAAUUAAAGGCAUAAUCUUUGGAUUCUGAUGUAGCUUCUGAGUCUGGGAAAGUCAUUUAAUUUCUCUAUACUCUGGUUUCCUCACAUGCAUAAUAAUUAUAAAUAUUACAUCCCUACAUGGGUGAGGAGCACUCAAUGUUAUUAUUUUUAUUUAUGUAUUUAUUUUAUUUUUAUUUUUUGGUACCGGGGGUAGAACUUGGGACCUUACACUUUCCAGGCAGGAGGCGGCACCACUGAGCUAAAUCCCAGGCCCGAUGUUAUUAUUUUUAAAUAGUAUCUUUAUUUGGGGGAUGUUUGAGGUGUUUCUACCUUAUGGCAAAAUGCCAUUAAGUACUUAAUGGAAAAAUGUACACACAUUAUUGAAGAGGCCUUUUUGGCCAUUGAGAAUUGACUGAUGAAUUCUCCACCUUUGGAAGAAGGCAGAUAUGGUCCACUUAGGUGGCUCACGGGGAGAAGCGACAGCUGAUCCUUGGUGUGGAAGGUCGGACAUGUUUCCUUCACAUGCAUCAUCUGUGCUCUGUCUCCCAGAAACGUCUCAGAGUGCUGGGACGCCGCUGUCCCUCGCCAUGGUUGCCAGCUACCUUGGGUGGCUAAGGUCCACCACUCAAUUUUAUGGGGAGGAGAAAUCCAGUUCUGCUUAGGGUAGCCGGGAUGAAAAAAGGAUUCAAUUCAGAAGACUUGGUUAUAAAUCCUUGCUUUUAGAGACUUGAUAGAUUUAUUGUCUUGGAAAAAUCACCCCAGCUUUCUUAUCCAUAAAGCUGAAGUAAUUCUUAUCUGACAGCACUGUUAUGAGAAUAGAAUGUUAUAAAAUAUGGAAAUGUCCUGAAAGAAAAUCUAGAAAUUUAUCUUUUAAAAUAGUUUCCUAGGCACUGACUGCACCAAGGGAUUUGGUGGUCUACAAAAUAUCGUAAUUUUGCCAGCCCUUGAGAAAACUGGAAUGCGUUUUAUCCCUCUUCUCUGGACAGCACUCCUUCUGAGACGUCUGUCCACCACGCAGGCACAACUCCCUGUUCAUUUACUCAGGUGAGUUCAUCUUAACAAACUCAUUAAACGAUACAUGGACUUGAUUUGCCUAUGCAACUAAAAAGCCAGGGACAGGUGUGGAUUGAGUCAGUGGAUUUUUAAAAGCCACUUUGGAUUCAAUCUCAUCCCAUCUCCUGAUUCUGCAUCAUGUGAUGUUACCUUGUCUCUAGGAUCUUCUAAAGGGGUCCAGUAGACCCAGGAAUGUACCUGUUUUCACAUUUGGCCUGUGGAAGAGUCCCUGUCCUAGUGCUCUGACCUAAAUACUGAGGCUUUUAGGUUUUGUCACAUGCUCGUCUUUGACCCGAUCCUGAUGCCAAAGGACAGGAACGCACAACAUCAGCUGACCUUGGGCCAUGUGGUCUAUUUUGGACCUUUGGGGAAGUCAGCUUCUUUAGGAUCACAUGAGUCUACAAGUUUAAACCAGAAACUAUCUAGAAAUGUAAAGAGAGCCCACAGUGGUAUUUCAUCUGUAACAUGUCCACCACCCACUGGCUAAACAAAGCCAUCGGACUGGUCUGGGUGUGUCUGGGUGGAGUGGUCCUGGGGUCUGUCUGGUCCAUCGCCCCUUUCCCUCAGGGGCUGGUCCUCUGCUCUGCUUCCCAGCAGCCAGGAACUGAUCAGCUUUGUCUCCUCAUGCCCUUCUGCCAUGAUGUUCCUGCCUUGGAGCCAGCUGGCCAUGGACCAAAUCCCUUGGAACCAUGAGCCAAAUGUACCUCCCUUUCUUUAAUCUGUGGGUCUCAGGUAUUUUGUCCGGCAGCAGGAAACCUAACCCACACAGCUAGAGAUAGAAUUUCUGGAGCUGUGGUAGGUGUCCCAGUGGAGCUGUGGCAGGUGGAGCAGAUCUUACCGUAACUCAAGUGUGCAUCUUAUGUCCUCAUGAGUCCCAGAGUAGCAGGGCGGAGAGCGCUCCAGCCCAGAUGGCAAGGUUAGGCUUGGGUUCUGCAUCUGUGACUGAGCAGGUGGAAUUCAGGUGAAUUGAUUUUCCUCUGUAAGAUUUUCCUACCUCUAGAAUGGAGGUAGUAGAAAUAAUACUUACAAGUCAGUUUUGAGCAAUAAAUGACAUAAUUGAAAAAAUGUGUUUAGUUCCUGAGAUGCAUGGAAGUAGGGAGUUAAUGAAUUUUAACUUGGCCGGAAUGUUUUUCAUGUAUUUGAAUAGAAAUCCCGGAAUAGGGACUAGGCCUAGAGAAUUUAGUAGACUGUUUGUAAGAACAGUAUAGCGCUCAGAGGGUCACCCCUCCUUCCCUCUUGUGUCUUCAGUUUGUCUCUCAGGGACAGAAGCAUGUGCCUUUGGGGAGAGGCCUCAGGCUGUUUAUCAUUCUGGAGAGCUACUGAAAUCCAUCCUAUUUAGAGCAAGCACAUAAUUGAUUGUUCAAAUUAGGAAGCUUGUUGGAUUGAGGGAAGGUACUCAAAAAACAAUGAAUAGCCAGAACUCUGGGAGGCUGAUGCAGGAGGAUCCCAAGUUUGAGCCCAGCCUGGGCAACGUAGCUACUUAGUGAAAUUGUCUCAAAAUCAAGAAACAAAGACAGAAAAAUGGCUGGGGAUGUAGCUCAGUGCAAAGGCCCUGGGUUCAAUCCCCAGUGCCAUAAAAACCGAAAUAAACAAACAAAAAACCCCAUUAACAUGGAAUAGUUGAGCUGGAAGAGGUACACACAAGAACUUUCCCAGUUAAACUGCCUCAUGUAUGAAAGUCUUCACCUAAAAUAGAAAGAUCUAGAGUAAAAUUAGGCACCUAAUAAAGGCAAAGAAUUCUAAAAAGAAAUGUUUUCUCUUCUCUUUCCUUCUGAACCAUCAGUAAAAACUAUCCCAACAUUCAACCAUUUUGUUAUUUUAUUCUAUUUAAAAUACUGUCAUAAAGAUUCAUAUAUCCACACAAAUAUUAUAGAAGAUGUAUUUUUUACUCCUAAUUUGAGUUCAUUUGUUAUAAGAAAUAGGAUCAACCAAAACACAUUUCUAUGGUUAUAUUUAAAUAUAUCUACACUUUAAAAAUAAUAAAGCUGGUUAUGUUUCAUCUUACCCAUAAGCCACCAUAUGUCAGUCUGAAGCUGAAGUUAGUAAUGGUUCAUAAAACCAGAGUUCUGAAAUUUUGAACCUUUGGAAUUAUCUGCUUUCUUGUUUCUUUAUUUCUCUCUGGGCUAAAUAGAAUUUGUACAUCUGACAUCCAAGGUCUUUAUAAACACUAUUAAAGUAAUAAAUGUCAUUAACUUUAGCAUCCCUUAAUUAUUGAUCCUACAGAAGUAAGAGGAUAAUAUAAUGAUCAUUUCCAUGCCAUACCAUACUUUUAUUCCUUUUCGUGUGUUAUGUGGCUAACUCCAUAUACCAUGUGUUAGCAAAAUUUACUAGUAAAUUAAUAAAGAAUUUGUGCUGUUCCAAAAAUGAUUUGAGAACUAAUAAGAAAUACUUACUUUUUAAAAUAAGAAGGAUUUAAAAUAAUUUAAAAGAAGCAAAGGGAAAUAAGAUUAGGUAGAUAAGAUGCCCUCUAGAAUGAUGUUCCAGACUGGGUACAUAAGUUUGUUCUUAUGUCUUAGCAGUCAAAACAGGGGAAAACAGAAUAAGGUUCAUCUGUCAAAAGGUCCAUAGGCUGAAAACAAAGCCCUUGCUCAUGAGAAUCACAAUCCUUUAAUGUUAAAAGAAGAGUUUUCUUCCUUAGAAAUGUGCACACUUUAAGUUUCUUUAUAUUUCUACAAGGUAAAGUUAUCGUAUCAUACUGCCUAGAAAGUUAUUUUGUCUUCCUAUGUUGGUGAUUCUAAUGCUUAAAAUCUAACAAUUUCCCUUAGCUUUGAAAGGUAUUCAUUCCAGUAGCUUGCUUGUGUACUAAAUCAUGUAAUAAUUGGAUAUUUAAUUAUAUUCUACCAAAGGCUUACACAAACAUAUGUGCAGGUUGCAGUAUGAAAUAUGUAUUUAUUCACUUUCCUCAGAUUGUUUAACAUAGAACUACACAUGAAAAGAAAGUUAUUUCCUAGCUGUAAGAAAAAUAGAAAAUCGCAGAUAUUAUGUAAAGUAUUGUGAACACAAUUGCACAUAUAUUUUAUUUAUAUCUCUUAAUUUUACACCUUAAUGGAACUCAGAGUGCCGUUUCAACACCUGGACACUGAUCAAGUCAGGGUAAUUAGCAUUUCAAUCUCCUUAUCAUUUCUUUAUGUUUGGACUCUAUGGACCUUCAUGAAAUAUACACUGGGCUGCUCUUGGGAACUCUAGUCAUGUCUCUCUGCUGCAGAAAACCAACACUUAUUCCUUCUUUCUGUGUUUGGUACCUGUGCCUCAACCUCCCUUAAUUACCCUUCCCCUCAAAUCACACAUUGUCUUAUUGAAACUUUACUUUUAAUCUUUUUUCUUUUAAAAAAGGAAUCAAAGAGCAAAGAAAAGAGUAAUAUCAUUGCUUGUGAUGAAUCCAGGUUGCAGAAUGCUGUCAGUUCUGGACACGUGUGCAUAUGAGCUCUCGUAUCCUGGAGUAACUCCCACAGCAGCACUGCCAUGGUGCUCCUCCUACACUGAGCAUUACUUGUAAAGUGCAAGCGCUUGGGAAGAACUGUGACAUGUGAUGAAUCUGGUCAGCGUCAGCGCACUCCUACCGCUGCCUGGCCGCCCUUGUUCAGACACAGGCAGAGAGUAGACAACAGGCAGACAUGCUAAUGCGCAUUCUGCGGUGACCAUCAAGAAGGCAGAGAUAAGGCUCACCACAGGGGACAGUGAAGAAAACUUCGAGUAAUGAUGACAGUAUAUGAGGUGGGAUCAAACUAGCAGAUGUUUACAUUGUUUUAAAAAAUUAGUGCAAUAAAAGAUACAUUGCCAUUAACCCUCCUCAAAAUAUCCUCGCCUCCACUUCAAACACUCUUGGCCCUCUGCUCUUGCCACUUUCUGAGGCAGUUCUGGAAGUCCUCUUCCAUCCGUGUCAGUAGUUGUACUACUGUGACUGCCUCGAUGUCCUGAAUCAGUUCAAAACAUGUACUAUUCAUGGUCAUUUUGACCUUUGGAGAAAAGCCAGAAGUCACACAGUGCCUGAUCCAGUGAGUAAGGGGCCGAGGACACAGCACUGUGUUUACAGACCCGUGUUUCUGUCGGAUGCACUUGGCAGCAACAUUCACCACUUUUUGAUCAAACUUCCUCAAGACCCUCAUGAAGAGGACUUCCAGAACUGCUUCAGAAAGGUGCAAGAAUGGUGGGAAAGUGCAUUUAAAACUGGGGAAAUAUUUUGAGGGGGAUUAGCUUCAAUAUGUCUUUUACUGAAAUUAUUUUAAAAAUAAUUUUAAACAUAGAUCAUAUCUUUGGUCAUAACUUGUGAUGAAAUGAUGAGAAAAUAAAUGUCAUAGAGCUAAACGAUAGGAGCCUGGAUGUAGCAAGGCUGUCUAAGGCCAAUUGCUCAAGUCAUUUACCACAAAGAAUUCAAAAGGAGGAGAAACACUGACCCUCAUAGUAGAAUUUUGCUAUAGACCUGAGCAAAACCAUCACCAUUGGCAAUAUUUCAACACACUCAAUGUUGCAAGAAUGAGGUGAGACAUUGACAAAGAAAUCCAGAAACACAGUGGCUCAAACAAAACAGAUGCUUAACAGAGCCGGAGGAGCUGCUGAGCUCCCCAGGAGCCCAGGUGCUUUCCACAUUGUUGCUCUGCUGUUCCCAAGGUUAGCCUUGAGGGUUGGGUGGGAUCUAGCUCAGGACCCUUGUUUUCUAGGCUGUAGGAUGUAAGGAAGUAAACAAUAAGUGAUUUUCUCCUUUCAAGAGCAGAAGUGGGGUUGCACACAUUACUCCUCCUCAAUCAUCAUGAGGAGGAAACCAAGCACAUGGGCACAGAGGGCUGCGAGAAAGGCCUCAGGCUGUCAUCUCUGGUUGAGUGGCUGCAUCUUGAGGGGAAAAUAAUUCCUCAAAGGGAAGAGAAAAGAAACUAGGAGAUAAAAGUCCCCGCCCCUGCAUGGCAACAGUUUUGUGUAAUGAAAUUCCAGGUUAGAAUGCAGGAUAUGGUUCCAGGAUAGUGGAAUAGAGUAAGAGAGAGGUUUCUGGCAAAGAAAGGACAUUUAUAAGGAGAAGCCAGGAUGUCUUGCUCUGCAUGUGACUAUCCUCCAUGGUGCUGAUGUCCUACUGGUUUAUUAGGUCACUGUGAGUCAGUUUCAGGAUGCAAGUUCUACUUCCCUUGAAUUUUCUGGCAGGUUAGGGAGUAGUUGGCCAAGUCCCUGCAGAAUCUGACAGAGCUAAAGGAAAUCAAUUUGGUUUUACUUUCUUCAGACUUCUGUGAUAGGACAACUAUGCAAAUAUGUAUCUAAUUGUUUCUUACACUUUUGACUCUGCUUGAACGCCCACAGAUUAAACUCUAAUUCUUUUGGAGCAAACGACAGGUAAUAAAUCUAAUCUAUCUAGAGAAAUCUGUUUCAUCAAUAUUUGCCAAUAGAUAUACCACCAGUGUUUCUGGCUUGGGAACUAUAUAGAAACUAUGCCCCAAAUUAGCACUGACAUAAGGUACUCUCAGAACAAGUUGCACCAAGCUUUUUACCUUACUUCUAUUGCUAAUAAUAUGGAUUUAGUCUAGAAGAAAAGUGAGCGAAUUAAAUAAAUUUUCAAAAGUCCUGCCUGAAAGUUAAGAGUAACGAUUCCUGUGUGGUUGUUUUUUGGAUCAGAUUUGCGGUGAUAACGGCUGAGAACUUUCCAUCCUCAUACAAGCUGGGUCUCAAAUUCCUAAGGAAACUCCUGCAGAGCCGCGCUGUUUGCUUUUGAAAGAUCAUAUCCUGACUUGCCUAUGGAGCCUUUGGUCGGAGGUGGGAUAAUUUUUGCAGCUGGGGGGAACCUAUACCUUGCUGGGGAAAAUCAGCAUGAAACAAUUAAUCACUCAUCCAAAAAUAAGAAUCCUAACCGAAGGGUGUUCACCGAUGAAAGAGCAAAGAAAACAUGUGCAGAGACAGUCUUCCUUCUGAUAGGCAGUGAUUUUUAAAGCAAAUUCUUCAUGUUUGGGAGUUGCUUCUUUCUUUGCUUUUUAUUAAACAGAGUUUUGUUUUCCUGAGUAAAAAAGAAUCUUAUUUUCAAAGGGCUGUUAUCCUGCUGCUUGCUCCCCAUAUGAAAUUAUCUUGCAGAGUAACAGGGCCUGGUGUUCUGGAAAUUGCAUAUGGGAUUUCUUAGUUUAAGAUCAAAGUCCUGUGACUGGAAGUUCACAAGAGUCACUCUUUUUCUUUCUAUUCAUACUUACAUUUUUAUUUUUCAAAACCAAUGCAUCAGAAAUUAUAUAUUUUAUGGAAAAUGAUAUGAUGUUGUGAAAUAUGUACACAUUACGGCAUGGCUGAACCAAGCUACUUAACACAUGCAUCCUCACAUGCUUACUAUGAUUUUGUGGUGAGAACACAUAAAAUCUAUUAUCUCAGUAUGUUUCCCAUCAGUCACUGCCUUGAAAUUGAACAGUUUUCAUAUAUCUUCUAAAUUUAACAUUUCAAAUUUGGCUUUCAUAAAAUAUUUUAGUUAUUAUGUUAGUACUUAACUGAGGAAUAGCUCAAACUUGGUACAUUCAUUUGUACAUUCUGAAUUAGUGGAAAGAGUUUGGGGUUAUAAAUGGGGAUGUAGAGCCACACCUCCUCCCAAUCAGAGGCAAACUCUGCUGCCAUGACAAAGGAGAAGCCAGCAGCUUCAGGGUGCGUGGUCAGUCUGUAAUGACAUUAGUACUGUCUUCGCAGGGGCCAGCUCACUGGAGUUCUAGCUCUAUUGUUCGCACUGAACUUUUACCUUUCCACAGAGUUAAAUGCAUUGCCAGUGUCCCAGUGUAUUCAGAAUUAAGCUGCCCUUACCUAUUCAGAGUUAGUAAAAAGAGACUUAUAUUUUGUCCUAGUAUUUUAUUUUCUACAUGAUUUCUCUCUCUUGGAAUUUAUUUUGGUAUAUGGUGUGAAGAGAUGAUCUAAAAUGAUGUUUCUCUGAAAUAGUUGCCUCAGUUGUCUCUUCUUUCACAUUUGAUUUUAUUUCUUUGUAAUAUAUAACAUUAUUAAAAUUAAUAUAAUUUCAAACAAAUAUUUCUGACAUUUCUUGUAUAUAUCCUACUUUAUCGAUGUGUCUGUUUUUGCAUCAACAGUAUGUCUUAAUUAAAGUGCCUUAUGGUAUGUUUUAAUAUAAAGUUGGGCUACUUCCAAAUGAAUGCUCUUUAGUGAGAGAAUUUAUGUAAAACUCCUAUAUCUAUCUACGUGUCCCCAUGUGGAUGCACACAGCAAUUGGGAGAUUUUCUAUGGCACCAUCCUAUCCUGUCUUGGACCUUAGCCUUCAUCCAGAGGAGCACUGUGUGUGCUGUCUCCCACCAAGCCAGGGGUCUGAGCAACUUUAGCAUCUACACUAUUCCAUUAGUGUUACCUCCACACCUACCAGUUAGCACCCAAUCUAGCACUGCCUAUACCUGCUCACUGCAUGCUGCAUUGCUAGUUUUAGAGUCAUGAUUUUUUUUUUUUUUUUGGUACCAGGGAUCGAACUCAGGUCCUUGUACUUGCGGUGCAGGCAGCAGAAACACUGAGCUAAAUCCCCAGCCCUUAGGGUCAUAAUAUUAAAAAAGUUAAUAAUGUCUGAAUUUUUACUUAGGGACCAAAAGUUGAUUGUGUUUUAACCUAUACUCAACUUUCUUUCAGAUAUAAAAUAUUCUUCUCUAAGAAGGAGAAAGGUAUAGUAUUUACUUGAAUUAGUAUCAUGCCUAUGUGGUCCAACUGAGAGGUGAAGAAAACAGGCUGAGGAGGGACUUUCUGAAAUUUAGAUCAGAUAAAAUACUUUAUUUGUACAAAAAGCAAUUAGUAAUAAUUGGACUUUUUAAACUCACAAACAAGACUAAAGACAGCAAAACAUAUGAGAUAAUAAAAAUAUCCAUUAUCCACUCCACAUUAUUUGUAAUAACUUCAAAUGAUAAAAGAUUACAUUAAAAAUCCAAUUUAGGGGCCAGGGAUUUAGCUCAGUGGUUCCACCGCCUGCCUUGCAAGCACAAGGACCCAAGUUCGAUCCCCAGUACUCCCUGCCAAAAUAAAUCCAAUUUAAAAAAUUUUUAUUGCAUAUAAAUUGACAAAUUACAUUUGUGUAUAUGUACUGGGUACAAAGUGAUCCUAAGAUUUAUGGAUAUGAGGAGUCAUUAAAUUAAACUAAUUAAUAUAUCUAUCACCUCAAAUGCCAUAUUUUGGUGGUAACAUUUGAAAUUACUGUUACUGAUUUUGGUAUGACAAAUAAAUUUUAAUUGAUUUAGACACAAUGGCCAUGUGUAUGUUCCCUUUUUAGGUUGGAGUUAUUGGAAAAAAUAAGGCAUACAAUAAAGUUUUGUGAUUUUUUAAUAAAGUUUGGUACUUGGUUUAAGAAAAUGUUUCUCAGUCGUGAAGGUAUAGGAUCAAACCAAAUGUCCAUUAACAGAUGAAUGGAUAAAGAAAAUGUGACUAUAUAUGUGAUAAAAUAUCUCAACCAUACAAAAUAAAAUUUUGCAGCAACAUGGAUGGAAUUGGAGAACAUUAUGUAGGUAAAUAAAUCAAACACAAAAUGACAAAUACUGCAUAUUUUCACUGCAUAUGGAGGCCAGAAGGUUGACCUCAGAGAUACAGAGUUGCAGAGUGGUACCUGGAAUGCAGGCCUGGGAAGGGAGUGGGUAGCUGAAGGAUGGUUCAGGGGUAUAGGGCCGGCUGGAGAGGAGCGAUAACCCAACAUUCUCUAUUGUACAGCAGGACAGCUAUAGUUGACAAUAACUAGUUGUAUACUGUAUUUCAAAAUAGCUAGUAGAAAGGAUUUCGAGCUUUCCCAACACAGAGAAGUGGUGAGUGUUUCACAGGAUGGAGUUGUCAGCUAUCCUGAUCUGAUCAUAAUACCUCACACACGAGCAUUUAAAGAAAUAUGUACAAUUAUUAUGUGUUAAUUAAGAACAAAUAAAAUGAAAUGCUGCAAAGAAGUGUUUUUUGUCUAUGGCAUGCUAGAACAGAAGUAUUAUUUUAGUUCAUGAUAACAAUGAUUUUCCAGAGGAAGAAAUAUGAGAAAAAGUAUAGGGAAGGUCUAUUUGCCUAAGUAUGACACGAUUAAUAUGAUUUCAAAAGACAUUAGGGAUUUUUAUCUAUCUUGUCUUGUUCCAAACAAGGGGAUACAGAGGAAAAAGGAUGAAAAUCCCUCAUAACAAGUCCCACAUAUCGAUCUUGGUUUAACCUUUAAAAGGAAGCAUUCCUAUUUUCAUUAUGAAACUAUAAUAUCUUCCAACUAAGGGAUUCAGAGCAAACGUUCAUUCCCGAGCAUGGCUUUCUGAUUUCCCACGGCCUGUGGCAGGGUGAAGAUGCUCAGGCUGCAGGCUGAGCAUCCAGGAGGGCACAGAGAGGGGUUUCUCAGGCUCACGACGGAUUACCAGAGACCAUGGAUUACCAGAGACCACAUCUUUCCACACAUCCCCAUCACUGAAGAGAUCACUCGGGCUGCGAAUCACUGUAGAAAUGGAGGACGAGGAACAAGCAAGGGGAUGUGGUGCAGAGAUGACUCUGGAGAGCUGAUAACUAAAAAGGCACAAGGCAGAAAGACAGCUUGUGAGAACCCACUGACGCUUCACAGCCGGUCUUAUCUUCUGAGAGCUGGAGAACUCUUGGGUCCUUUCCCAAAGUUCCCUGUUAACUUUCACUGACACUGAGGUUUUCAUGCCACGGACUUAACAUCUUCAAGAUCAAAUAGAAAAUAGUAUUUCAAUCAUAAGGGUGAACUUCAGCAUAACUUGGCAGCUUUCAAGUCUCAGAAGUUAAAUGGGUCUAGGAUUUAUAAACGCCUCAUUACAGAGGAUCAGGGAUUGAAAUCUCUAACUGGUCCUCAGGGCUUCAGGGUGUUACCAUCUAAAGGGCAGUGGCUUUUGUUAAAGCAUGAUUAGCUGCUCCAUCAUUAAAAGUCAUUUUGAUUGUGAAAUGUUCUUGUAUAGAUUUAGAAGAGACAAAACAGGUUAAAAAAACUAUAGCACACUUAGUAUUGACCAAUUAGCAUUAAGUAUUUUUUCAGUUGAAGAGAGUUGAUUCUUAGACAAUAUCAAAAGGAUUUUACUUCACUGCCAUCUUAAUUAAUGACUGCAUUCAAGGAUGUUUUAAAAAUUUGAAUUAUUUAAAAUAUCUUCUUGGCAAUAUUUAAUUUCCUAUCCCAAGAGCCUCUGAGAAAUAUUUUAAAUUUGUGUAACAGUCUGCAAUGACCUUUUAUUUCUUUAAAGGUCCUGGAUUUCAGCUUCCUGCUAAGCGUGUAUCCCUGAGGCACUGACCCUGGCUGGCUCACCUCCUGUUCAGCAUCUGGGCCAAGGCCCUGGGAUUCUGCCACCAUGAGGGACAUCGGAGGCAGUGGCACAUGCUGGCAUUUGGGGACACCAGCCAGAGCAGCUGCUGCUCCGCAUCUCCUGUCAAGGGUAGGCCACAGCAGCCUGGAAAGCCUCAGUCCUCCCUUUUCACACCAUCCCACUGCUUUCUGCAAUUUCUCUGCGGUGACACACACGGUAGCUCAUUUACGUGUGCUGGAAAAGGAUGUAGCAGAUGGCUGAGGCAGCAUCUCUUUGUUGAAUUAUAGUCAAUCUUGAAUAGCAGCUACUAUUACUAUCUUGGAUAUCUAAAGGCCUUUGUUGAAGUGUGGAGCUUAAAUGCUUCAAUAGUUUUUCUGCCGAUGAUUUGAUUCUUUGACUUUUAUAUUCUGAAUUAAAUUUCAGAUAUUUUGUUGAGCCAGUGGCUUGACAAUUAUUUUUCUAAAAGAAAAAGUUAUUUUUCUACAGUUUGGCUUUAGAAAUAUCACACGUGCUUUUACUUUAGGACUUGAUUUAGGGUAUUUGAAAAGUAUAACUUUACAAUAACUAUUACUUAAUAUUACAGAAUUAUGGUUAAGCUUUAUUCUGGAUAUAAGAUUAAAAGGUAAAGAUGAGUGGAUGCACAUUUUGUUCAGGUUUGACAUUUCUCUCUCUCACAGGAAGAGUGAUAAUGUAUAGAGUAGGAGGGUUACAGGGAACUGUACAGAAUGACAAUUCAGGAAGAAGUUGUGUUUCCAAUUAAUGACUGUUAGAUUAAAAGGCCUACUGAGAAAACUUGGGCUGCAUGAUACGACACCAAUGUGCCAAGCCAGUGGAACAGCGUAACGAAAUCCAUAAAACCUGAAUGUUGAAGCAGGCAUUAUCACAGUUGGUAAAAUUGCCAUGGCUGAAAUGAUUAGAAGGAAUUAUGGGCAGUCCAGGGAAAUAAAAUUAAAAUGAAAGGACUAUAAACAUUGUGUGGUUCCAAGUAUAAGCCAAAACAGUAAUCAGGCAAAACUGUAGAACUAUUGAGGGCAAAAAUAAUUUUUUAAAAAUGUGUUUUCCUUAGUACAAUCCCUAGAAUGAUAGAUCUUUUUCCCCCAGAUGAGUGCAGAUUUCCCAAUGGAAACUGUUUACUUGACAAAAUGACACUGUUUAGCACAGGUAGCGUGGAUUUGUGGAGUGGUUGUUAACGUUAGACAGCAUUGGAGUUGUUAUAGUCGAAGUAAUGCGAGAGAUUUUUAUAAUUUGUAUUUCAACAGAACAAGGCUAAGAAAAGAAGUAGAAGAUCGAUGGACCUAAUUUUAAGUUUAGUCAACUUUGAAAAAAGUCUGUUGAAUAUUAAAAAACCCUAAAAACAUUAAAAAUAGAAAUUUCAUUUGAUCCAGCUAAUUCCUUCUAGAUAUCUUCCCAAAAGAGUUUAACGUCACCAUAUUAUAGGGAUACAUGCAUAUCCAUGUUCAUAGCAGAGCAUUUCUAAGAGAGAGAUCUUGGAAAUGGUGUAUACGUCCAUCAGCAGAUGGACGGAGAAAGAUGUGGUAUUUAUACCCAACAGGGUACUGUACUACUCUGCCAUAAAGAAAGAUAAACUUGAAGCAUUCGUAGGCAAAUGGAUGCAUCUUGAGAACAUAAUGUUAAGUGAAAUGAAUCAGACACACAAAAUUUAUGAUUUUGAAAGCAUGUUUGACUUAAAGCUGUGUUUGCAGCAUACAGACAUCCCUCGUUUAGCAACUGAGUUGCAUUGUGUGCAUUACAGUAUUCAAGAAAACGGUCAAAGAAAUAGCCAACAGGAUGACUUUGCUUUUAUUUGCAUAACUCUUACAUGCAGCACUGUAAUGUAUAACAGAUCAUAAAACUAUAGGACUGUGCUGUAGAAGAAGCCACCAUAAGGCUGCACUGCUCCUCACGUUCCUAUCCUGUAAGUGCAGGUCGUUAAGUCUGAGCAGUGCACCUAGGGUGAAGGUCUGAACAGUUGCUAACCAGGUAGGUCACUAAAUAAGGAACAGCUGUAUUUAUAUUUUCUAUUCUUGUUGAGUAUUUUCAUCCCAGAAAAUUUCAUAAAACCUGUUUUCCAGUAGGUAAGAAGUUUAUUUGGAGUUAUUUUUUCACUAUGUCUUGUCUCUUUUUUUGAAGCACAACUCUAAAGGUAAAGAAACUUCGUAUCACUAGGAAGCUUGGGGUGAAUGGACACUGCUUAGGUCUGAGAGACCUGUGUUCAAAUCUGGUAUCUACCCAUCUCAAUUUAUUCCUUGAUAUAGUUGAUUGGAUCUCUGAGGUCUUUUAUUUUUCUUGAAAGUUUUAACUUUCUGAUGAUCUAGAGUUGCUGACCUUUCAACAUAAACAUGAAGGUCUUCUUAAGGUAUAAGAGAAGUAUUUUUAGUUAUUUGAAAAUGAGUAAGAGAAAGCCUUUGAAUAUUUGGGCCUUUCUUGCAAAUUAGAGAGAUUUCCCAUUUUAUCUGCCCUUACUUCUGUUAUCCGUAAUUGGAUUUACUGGAUUUAACAGGAACAAAGAAAUAUUUAUGAACUGGUUCAUCUCUGUUUCUUUCUCUGGAAAAGACAAGAAGAUCAUUAAGCUACACAUGACUUGUCACUCAAGGAGGAGAUGUGCUUUCCUCUCCAGAAGUUCAGGGUUAACUUGCCUUUCUAUCAUUUGUAAUCUCCAGAUAUAUAUAGUCAGUAAGUCUGGGUAAACAGUGUGCAGGAUAUUCAGGGUUUGAUAUGGAAAUUGAGACAGUCCAAAAUGCUUAGAUCUAAUGAAUCAGAAACUUAAAUUCCAGUACCAGAGAUGGGUCUUUCUGUCCCCUUCAGUUGGAUAAAAGUUUUCUAAAUAUUAUCCUUAAGUCAGAUAGAAAGUAUAAUAAGUUUCUAGGACUUAGAAUCCUGCCAUUUUGGUUUGAAUUAAAUUAAGAAUGGGGUAAAGGAAAUUAAAAGUCUGAAUUUAAUUUCUAUAGGAAACAGUUCUUAUUUUCAGAGCAAAAUUGGACUCAAUGGGAAAAAAGUAAGCAUGUAUCUUUCUGUUGAUUUAUAAAUUACUGAAACUUGAAUGAAAGGCCAGUUGAUAGAAAACGACUAACUGAAGAUAAAAUUCCAACUUCAGCAAAUUUUGAAUCUCAUAUACGAAUUGAUCAAAUUUCUGAGUAGGAGGCUAUUCUGAGGGAAGCAAAACCAAGCAAAUUCUUACAAAAUAAUAGGUAAAUCAUGGCCAAGAGAGUGAGUGCUACUGGGAAUAAAAAACAAAACAAAAGCCCAUUAAAAUGUGAAACCUCAAAAAAGCAAACCACAUUAGAAAAGAAAAAUGUUCCCAAGCCACAAAUAGGGUGUUCAAGAGAAACAUCUCAGAAGCCCAGUGACGACUGCACAUUUUUCAGUUAAAUAUGAAGAUUAUCACCCGUGUGGUGGUUAGACUAUUCUUACAAGUAGUUUCUCAGUGCCUAAAACUGUCACUUUGAUGUAACAGCUAACAAAAUUAAUAUUUAAAGAAAGGUCUGGUUUUCAAUAGUAAGAAUAAAUAUUUGAUAUAAAGUAAUUUGGCACCUUCACUUUUUUAUUAAUUUUAUUGGUACAUUUUAGGUAUACAAUAUAGUGACAUUCAUCAUUGGAAAUCUGCACCUUCACAUAAUCUCUCUAGGUUCUUAUUUUUCCCC
rnacentral:lncRNA from 1 species